GAAAUGCGAUACGUAAUGUGAAUUGCAGAAUCUCGUGAAUCAUCAAAUCUUCGAACGCACAUUGCGCUCUUGGGUAUUCCUGAGAGCAUGCCUGUUUGAGUGUCAGUAUCAAACAUCAAACCCCAUCUGGGGUUUGGAUCUGGACCGUUUCUCGGACUCUACCCGGGUCCGAGUGGUCUUAAAUUUAUAGGAGACUUGACAGAGAUUUCCUGGAGGCAUGGUAAUGAUGGGUUUCAUCUUUAUUUGCCUUGUGCGAAAUCUCGGCCAAGUUGAUUCUCCCUAAUGGCCCCUAACUGGGCAAUCUCCUUGAAACUUGACCUCAAAUCAAGCAAGACUACCCGCUGAACUUAA
rnacentral:misc_RNA from 1 species